rnacentral:tRNA from 3 species
GGAGGGAUGGUCUAGACUGGUUAUGAUACCUGCCUUACACGCAGGGGGCCGUGGGUUCGAAUCCCAUUCCCUCCA